GACGUACGCUGGCGGCGGGCUUAACACAUGCAAGUCGAACGGAAAGGCCCUGCUUUUGUGGGGUGCUCGAGUGGCGAACGGGUGAGUAACACGUGAGUAACCUGCCCUUGACGUUGUGAUAACUUCAGGAAACUUGGGCUAAUACCGGAUAGGAGCGCCUGCUUCAUGGUGGGGGUUGGAAGGUUUCGGCGGUUGGGGAUGGACUCGCGGCUUAUCAGCUUGUUGGUGGGGUAGUGGCUUACCAAGGCUUUGACGGGUAGCCGGCCUGAGAGGGUGACCGGCCACAUUGGGACUGAGAUACGGCCCAGACUCCUCCGGGAGGCAGCAGUGGGGAAUAUUGAACAAUGGGCGGAAGCCUGAUGCAGCAACGCCGCGUGCGGGAUGACGGCCUUCGGGUUGUAACCCGCUUUCGCAUGUGACGAAGCGUGAGUAACGGUAAUGGGUAAAGAAGCACCGGCUAACCACGUG
rnacentral:rRNA from 1 species